UACGGAGGGGGUUAGCGUUGUUCGGAUUCACUGGGCGUAAAGGGUGCGUAGGUGGCAAGGUAAGUUCGAUGUGAAAUCUCCGGGCUUAACCCGGAAACUGCAUUGAAUACUCUCUUGCUCGAGGAUUGGAGGGGGGACUGGAAUUCUCGGUGUAGCAGUGAAAUGCGUAGAUAUCGAGAGGAACACCGGUGGCGAAGGCGAGUCCCUGGACAAUUCCUGACACUGAGGCACGAAAGCUAGGGGAGCAAACAGG
rnacentral:rRNA from 1 species